GGUGAACGCUGGCGGUAGGCCUAACACAUGCAAGUCGAACGGCAGCACAGUAAGAGCUUGCUCUUACGGGUGGCGAGUGGCGGACGGGUGAGGAAUACAUCGGAAUCUGCUUUUUCGUGGGGGAUAACGUAGGGAAACUUACGCUAAUACCGCAUACGACCUACGGGUGAAAGCAGGGGAUCUUCGGACCUUGCGCGAUUGAAUGAGCCGAUGUCGGAUUAGCUAGUUGGCGGGGUAAAGGCCCACCAAGGCGACGAUCCGCAGCUGGUCUGAGAGGAUGAUCAGCCACACUGGAACUGAGACACGGUCCAGACUCCUACGGGAGGCAGCAGUGGGGAAUAUUGGACAAUGGGCGCAAGCCUGAUCCAGCCAUACCGCGUGGGUGAAGAAGGCCUUCGGGUUGUAAAGCCCUUUUGUUGGGAAAGAAAAGCAGCAGGUUAAUACCCCGCUGUUCUGACGGUACCCAAAGAAUAAGCACCGGCUAACUUCGUG
rnacentral:rRNA from 1 species